CAGCCGCCACGGUAAUACAGAGGGUGCGAGCGUUAAUCGGAUUUACUGGGCGUAAAGCGUGCGUAGGCGGCUUCUUAAGUCGGAUGUGAAAUCCCUGAGCUUAACUUAGGAAUUGCAUUCGAUACUGGGAAGCUAGAGUAUGGGAGAGGAUGGUAGAAUUCCAGGUGUAGCGGUGAAAUGCGUAGAGAUCUGGAGGAAUACCGAUGGCGAAGGCAGCCAUCUGGCCUAAUACUGACGCUGAGGUACGAAAGCAUGGGGAGCAAACAGGAUUAGAUACCCCAGUAGUCCCUGUCUCUUAUAA
rnacentral:rRNA from 1 species